AGAGGGAAUUUUCCAUGUUUAUUCAAACUCUUCUGAAGCCCACUGAGCUGAGCCCUUUUGGAGGGUCCAUGGUCGGUCCAUGUUAAUGUGAAUCUGCACACAAUGCAGAUUAAAAACAUGGAAAUACAGUGCUUGAGGAGUCAGCUACAAAGUGCUGAUGGAGUGCUAGUGUUAAGUACAACAAAAGCCACACAUCUGGAGGACUGCAUGUUCUCCAGUCAGCCUGCUGAUGGGGCCACAUAAGGAAGUAGGAAACAAAGAGCCUCUGCCCAAGCAAGGCUGGAGGUUCUGGAAAACUCUAGGUCCUUCCUGAGCCCUCAUACCACAUGAUCCUCAACGGGAAACUGAAGCUCCCUCCAGGAAACAAGUGGAAGAGAAAUCCAGAACAGGAAAGGGAGAGACAUGUGGCAGGAUCCCAGGAGCAGGCAGGCCAGGUCAAAGUAAAGGAGGCCUUGCGUCUCUUUUGACAGGAUGGCAGUGGUCACAGGUGAGUGACGAAUUCCCCAGGGGGAAGGAAAAGAUUCUGUCAGAGUCACAGGAAGUGUCCCCCUGGAGGGCCAGGUGCGGACAGGUGUGGGACAGGUACUGCUCAGGUCCCACCAUCGGUUCACCCCACAGGUUGGGCCAUCUUUGCGUGCAAGCUCUGGUGCGCAAUGAGGUGUGCACGCUGCUUGAAGCUCUUGUCACAUUCCCCACAGCCGAAUGGCCGCUCGCCCGUGUGCACACGCCUGUGGUCUAGCAGGUAGGAGCGCAGCGAGAAGCUCUUGCCACACUCGCUGCAGCUGAAGGGCUUCUCACCUGUGUGGAUGCGCUGGUGGUCAGCCAGGUAGGCGCUCCGGCUGAAGUUCUUGCCACAUUCAGAACAAGAGAAAGGCUUCUCGCCCGUGUGCACGCCCUGGUGGCGCACUAGGUCAGAAGAGCUGCGGAAGCUCUUGUCGCAUUCAGGGCACUUGUGUGGCUUCUCACCCGUGUGUGUGCGCUGGUGCCUGGCUAAGUCAGAACCCCAGCGGAAGCGCUUCCCACACUGCGCGCAGCUGUGGGGCUUCUCCGCCACUAAGUUCUGAAAGUGGCGCCUGCGAGUGGGCGGCCGCCCCCGACGCGCUCCCACCAGCGGGUCCAGGGCUGUCCUCAUUGGGUUCUCACUCCCCCAGACCUCGGUCACAGCCUCCUCGGGAUUCCAAGACAUAGGCACUUCAGUCUGUCCCAACAGUGCUGUCACUGCCUCCUCUGCAGGGGCCUUUUGGCUUUUGGGUCUCAAACC
rnacentral:lncRNA from 1 species